rnacentral:rRNA from 1 species
AUACGUAGGUGACAAGCGUUAUCCGGAUUUACUGGGCGUAAAGGGCGUGUAGGCGGUCUUGCAAGUCAGAAGUGAAAUUCCUGAGCUCAACUCGGGCGCUGCUUCUGAAACUGCAGGACUUGAGUGCUGGAGGGGAUAGCGGAAUUCCUAGUGGAGCGGUAAAAUGCGCAGAGAUUAGGAAGAACACCGGUGGCGAAGGCGGCUAUCUGGACAGUAACUGACGCUGAGGCGCGAAAGCGUGGGGAGCAAACAGGAUUAGAUACCCUGGUAGUCCACACUGUAAACGAUGAAUGCUAGGUGUAGGGGGUAUCGACCCCUUCUGUGCCGCAGUCAACACAAUAAGCAUUCCGCCUGGGGAGUACGGCCGCAAGGUUGAAACUCAAAUGAAUUGGCGGGG